GCAGAUGGAGGGCAGAAGUGCUUGUGGGGACCCGGCUCACUUGUGUUGAGCCAGACGGUACUGGGGAUUGAACCCAGGACCUCUUGCAUGCUAAGCAUGUGCUCUAUCCCUGAGCCAUAUCCCUCUCCCCUAGUUUUACUUUUGAAUAUGCUGACCCUGAGGGUCUGUGUUCGGCCUCUGUCAUCUGUCACUAUCUUGCUGAGACUGGUUGCUAAGCUGGGGCUCAGAGGUUCCAGGGCAGCUCACUUCCUGCUGAGGCAACCAACAGACACUGCCCAGCAAACUGGUGUGAUUUCCUGACUCUUUGGGAAGUAUUUUGCAAGACACUUAGAUUACCUACUGUUGGAAAAAUGCAGAAGUGACUUUUAUGAAUAUAGGACUAGUACAGAUCUGUUGGUUUUUGAUAUAGUGCAAGACAUGAGGACUAGGAGAGCUUUGCUGCUGAUUGCCAGAAGGACAGAUGCCGGGUCUCAGUCUCCCCUCCUGUAAAAUGAAGAGGCUUACCUGGAUUCUUUCCACUACUGAGUUUCCAUGAGCCUAUGUCUUUUGUUUAUAUUCAGGAGUAUUUACAAUUUCAUAUUAAAUGCUGAAUACCACUCCCUUCCCUGAAGCAGA